UCGAUUGAGAAUCGUUGCCUUCAGUGCUGGCCAGCUCUGGCAAGUGCACGUCGGUGACUUUUAUCCAAUACCCUUGUGCACCAUUGGCCUCUGCUAGCUUCGGCCGGCAGAGGAAUUUUACACAAACUCGAAUGUAAUGAAAUUUAUUGUCGUGCGCAAGCACUAAUGUA
rnacentral:misc_RNA from 1 species